UGGGGAAUUUUGGACAAUGGGCGAAAGCCUGAUCCAGCAAUGCCGCGUGUGUGAAGAAGGCCUUCGGGUUGUAAAGCACUUUUGUCCGGAAAGAAAUCCUUGGCUCUAAUACAGUCGGGGGAUGACGGUACCGGAAGAAUAAGCACCGGCUAACUACGUGCCAGCAGCCGCGGUAAUACGUAGGGUGCAAGCGUUAAUCGGAAUUACUGGGCGUAAAGCGUGCGCAGGCGGUUUGCUAAGACCGAUGUGAAAUCCCCGGGCUCAACCUGGGAACUGCAUUGGUGACUGGCAGGCUAGAGUAUGGCAGAGGGGGGUAGAAUUCCACGUGUAGCAGUGAAAUGCGUAGAGAUGUGGAGGAAUACCGAUGGCGAAAGGCAGCCCCCUGGGGCCAAUACUGACGCUCAUGCACGAAAGCGUGGGGAGCAAACAGGAUUAGAUACCCUGGUAGUCCACGCCCUAAACGAUGUCAACUAGUUGUUGGGGAUUCAUUUCCUAGUAACGUAGCUAACGCGUGAAGUUGACCGCCUGGGGAGUACGGUCGCAAGAUUAAAACUUAAAGGAAUUGACGGGGUCAUA
rnacentral:rRNA from 1 species